GGAGGGUGCGAGCGUUGUCUGAAGUUACUGGGCGUAAAGCGCGCGUAGGCGGUCCUUUAAGUUGAUUGUGAAAUCUUCUCGGCUCAACCGGAAAACUGCGGUCAAAACUGGGGGACUUGAGAUCGGGAGAGGGAAGUGGAAUUCCUGGUGUAGCGGUGAAAUGCGUAGAUAUCAGGAGGAACACCCAUGGCGAAGGCAGCUUCCUGGCCCAAUUCUGACGCUGAGGUGCGAAAGCGUGGGGAGCGAACGGGAUUAGAUACCCCGGUAGUCCACGCCGUAAACGAUGGAUACUAGGUGUUAGAGGUAUCGACCCCUCUAGUGCCGGAGCUAACGCAUUAAGUAUCCCGCCUGGGGAGUACGGCCGCAAGGUUG
rnacentral:rRNA from 1 species